CCGAUCCAUCCAAGCUCCGAGACGAGCCCUGUCGCGCUUUCCUGCCCCUUGCCCGCUGCGUCGCUCUCGCCCUCGCUCUCCACGGCCGCGAGCACGCGCACGCAACAGCGCGACGCGGUCCGGCGCUAGCUGUGACUAGCCAAGCAAAGCACGCGCCGCGGCUCGCCACCCCCGCGACGUUUACGGCGCGCCACCCGCGCGCUGCUGCUGCAUAAAACGCCCCGCGCUCCCCUCGCGCGAGCCCAUCCGUCGAUCACGCGCUCCCACCCGCAAGAAAUCUACCGCGGACGCGGGAUACACUCUCGUCUUAGCACACAACAAUAAGCAAUAGAUCGAGGAGGGGGGAUAAGAGUAGUUUUGACUUCAAGCUUCAGCCACAGCCUCUCCGGCCCACUGCUUGGAGCGCGCUGUGCUGUAUUAGACAUACCUGCGACGGCCGUCCUUAGACUGAGUGGUUCAUGGCAGCCGGAGAGCAACCGGGAACCAGGUCGUCGCCGCCGCGGACGUCCGGCUUGUUCCUUCUCGUCCUCGCUGUCAUCCUCUCAGAUCAAAUGCUAGCGGCAUCAGCUCAAGGCAUGUCAAUUGGGAUCAAUUACGGGCAGAUCGCGGACAACCUCCCUUCUCCGGCCAGGGUCUCACGGCUCCUCCGGUCGAUGCAGAUCAGCAAGGUGAAGCUCUACGACGCCGACCAGAACGUCCUGAGCGCGUUCCUCGACACGGGCGUGGAGUUCGUCGUCGGCAUCGGCAACGAGAACGUGUCGGCGAUGGUGGACCCGGCGGCGGCGCAGGCGUGGGUGCAGCAGCACGUCCGGCCGUACCUCCCGAGCGCGCGCAUCACCUGCAUCACCGUCGGGAACGAGGUGUUCAAGGGAAACGACACCGCGCUCAAGGCCAACCUCCUGCCGGCGAUGCAGUCGGUGUACCAGGCCGUCGUCGCGCUCGGGCUGCAGGGCCAGGUGAACGUCACGACGGCGCACUCCCUGGACAUCAUGGGCAGCUCCUACCCUCCCUCCGCCGGCGCGUUCCAACCGGACGUCGUGCCGUACAUCCAGCCGCUGCUCAACUUCCUGUCCAUGGCGAGCUCGCCGUUCCUGAUCAACUGCUACCCGUACUUCGCCUACAAGGCCGACCCCGGCAGCGUGCCGCUGGAGUACGUCCUCUUCCAGCCCAACGCCGGCGUGACCGACCCCAACACGAAGCUCAACUACGACAACAUGUUGUACGCCCAGAUCGACUCGGUGUACGCGGCGAUGCAGGCGCUGGGCCACACCGACGUCGACGUGAAGAUCUCCGAGACCGGGUGGCCGUCCAGGGGCGACCCCGACGAGGCCGGCGCGACGCCGGAGUACGCCGGGAUCUACAUCGGCAACCUCCUGCGGAGGAUCGAGAUGAAGCAAGGGACGCCGCUGAGGCCGUCGUCGCCCAUCGACGUCUACGUCUUCGCGCUCUUCAACGAGAACCUCAAGCCGGGGCCGGCCUCCGAGCGGAACUACGGGCUGUUCUACCCCGACGGCACGCCGGUCUACAACGUCGGCCUGCGCGGGUAUCUCCCGCCGAUGGACGAAUCGAAGAGCGCGCGAAAGGUGGUUCCAUUGUUAUCCCUCAUCGCCAUUGCAUCGAUCAUUCUCAUCUUAUCCUGAGAGGCUGAGAGUACAUACUCUCGACCACUGCAGUAAAGUGGAUUAAGAUAGCAUGUCUUGUCACUGAAGGUUCCCGUAGAAGAUAGCGAGGGAAGCUUCUGGGGGUUCUGGAGCACAGCAUCAUUCAGAAACGAUAGGAUCAUCCAUUUGGUGUGUCUUCUUUUUUAAUAGCAUUCAGGAGCUAAAUUUGGCUCCACAGUGAGUAAGUGACAGUGGCGUAGAAGUAGAACUAACGAAAGCUUUGGUUUGAUACAAGUCCAAAUCUGUACAAAAGGACCUGGGUUUGACACAAUUCAUGUUGAUUUUCUUCUUGGUACAUCUUUCUUUAUGCAAACUGUAUAUUGUAUAUCAGUGGGACAAUGAUCAUGACACAAGUUAAGAUCUUUGUGUUUGUACAUUAUGUUGCCCUUUUCAAUUAGUUAAUUUGAUUUGUGACCUGUGAGGAU